rnacentral:rRNA from 1 species
UGAGGAACAUGACCUUCGGCGGGGGAUAGCCGGCCCAACGGCCGGGUAAUACCGCGUACGACCACAUGGGGACAUCCCUGAGUGGUGAAAGCAGCAAUGCGCCGAUGGAGUGCCUCGCGGCCUAUCAGCUAGUUGGUGAGGUAACGGCUCACCAAGGCAACGCGGGUANCUGGUCUGAGAGGAUGAUCAGCCANAUUGGAACUGAGACACGGUCCAGAUCCCGUACGGGG